UUUAAAGUCCACUAAUCAUCUGUUGUACACUUUGCUUUAAAUGUGGCAAGUAGAGGUGCAUGUUACUCAGGGACUGUAGAGUAUGAUUAAGUGCAAACAAUUAACCACAAUGUGUGUCAUUUAAUCUAUUUUACUCAUGUAAUGUUUUUAUCUAUUCUAUCUUUCUAUCCUUCAUAAAGAACAAACUUGUCUGGCCAUAAAAGCCAGGCAGCAAGUUAAGAUUAAAUACAAGAACAUUUUGCAGGCUGGUCAGUGACUUUAAAGUAGGUAACAGUGAACAAAUGAGGUGAAUAGAUGUCUGCUGACAUGUUUAAUGUCUGUAUGAUUGUAGCAGUUUAAAAAAAAAAGCCCAUAGAACUGGAACAGGGGGCGGCCCACCAAGCCAGGAUAUGACCCCAGCAGAGGAGCUGCCACUCCAUUUAAAUAAAGGGAGGCCAGUGAUGGAGGGGAUCCAGAGAGGGACAGUAACACACUCUGUCCCAGCCACAGAAACUGUUCGCUUCAUACAAGUGUCUGGGAACAUGCUUACACUUUUGAAGCCACGGGAAGAUGAUCCGGGUGAAGGCACAUCUGCAGCUGCAGAAUGCACUUCUGUAGAUGAGGAGACUGUGUCACUGGACUCCAGAAGGCUUGAGACUUCACACACUGUUAGAACUAUAUGCAAAGCACCUGGAGAAACAUAUAGACCUGGCAGAUGUUAAAAUGAAACUCAAGAAGAGAAAGAUCCAAGAAAUGGAGCUGGAUCUUGAGAUUAAACAUCGGACACCCAGGAAACUGGACUUGGAAAUCCAGAAACUAGAAAGAGAAGAUCCAAGCAACCAAGACAAAUGAGGACUGCCAAAUAAAAAAAUAAAUAAAAUAAAUUCAACUAGA